rnacentral:misc_RNA from 1 species
UCCGGUUUGACACCGGCAGUCUCCCAUGAGUCCCCGCACAAGCGGUGGAGCAUGUGGCUUAAUUCGAUGCAACGCGAAGAACCUUACCCGGGCUAAAUCUCUGGUGACCGCCCCCGAAACGGGGCUUCCCUUCGGGGCGCCAGGGAAGGUGCUGCAUGGCUGUCGUCAGCUCGUGCCGUGAGGUGUUGCCUUAAGUGGCGCAACGAGCGCAACCCCUGUGGUUAGUUACCAGCACGUUAAGGUGGGGACUCUAGCCAGACUGCCUACGCAAGUAGUGAGGAAGGUGGGGAUGACGUCCUUGCUAGGUAA